rnacentral:rRNA from 1 species
ACGAGCGUUCCUGGUCGCGGAGGGUCAGACAGUUAGGAAUCUUCGCAAAUGAACGGAGUCGGGACCGGGAUGCACGUCGCUGGAGUGAUGAAGGUCUUUUCGGAUUCGUUAAAGCCACAUGUUGAUUUAGGGGAAGAAACAGGUUCCCGUUCCGAUUAGGUCGGUACCUUGACGGUACCUAACCAAAAAUCCCCGCUACUUCGUGCCAGCAGCCGCGGUAAUACGUAGGUGCAAGCGUUGUCCGAAAUUAUUGGGCGUAAAGGGCUCGCAGGCGGUUUCUUAAGUCUGAUGUGAAAGCCCCCGGCUCACCGGGGAGGGUCAUUGGAAACUGGGGAACUUGAGUACAGAAGAGGAGAGUGGAAUUUCACGUGUAGCGGUGAAAUGCGUAGAGAUGUGGGAGGAACACCAGUGGCGAAGGCGACUCUCUGGUCUGUAACUGACGCUGAGGAGCGAAAGCGUGGGGAGCGAACAGGAUUAGAUACCCUGGUAGUCCACGCCGUAAACGAUGAGUGCUAAGUGUUAGGGGGUUUCCGCCCCUUAGUGCUGCAGCUAACGCAUUAAGCACUCCGCCUGGGGAGUACGGUCGCAAGACUGAAACUCAAAGGAAUUGACGGGGGCCCGCCCAAGCGGUGGAGCAUGUGGUUUAAUUCGAAGCAACGCGAAGAACCUUACCAGGUCUUGACAUCCUCUGACAAUCCUAGAGAUAGGACGUCCCCUUCGGGGGCAGAGUGACAGGUGGUGCAUGGUUGUCGUCAGCUCGUGUCGUGAGAUGUUGGGUUAAGUCCCGCAACGAGCGCAACCCUUGAUCUUAGUUGCCAGCAUUCAGUUGGGCACUUUAAGGUGACUGCCGGUGACAAACCGGAGGAAGGUGGGGAUGACGUCAAAUCAUCAUGCCCCUUAUGACCUGGGCUACACACGUGCUACAAUGGACAGAACAAAGGGCAGCGAAACCGCGAGGUUAAACCAAUCCCACAAAUCUGUUCUCAGUUCGGAUCGCAGUCUGCAACUCGACUGCGUGAAGCUGGAAUCGCUAGUAAUCGCGGAUCAGCAUGCCGCGGUGAAUACGUUCCCGGGCCUUGUACACCCCGCCCGUCACGCCCCGAGAGUUUGUAACACCCGAAGUCGGUGAGGUAACCUUUAGGAGGCAGGCUCCCGA